UACAUUUCUCCAAUCAUUGAGCCAAAAUAAAUUAAUGGCGCCACCCCAUUUGGAAUCUCUUAUUUUUCUCCAUUUUUAUGUUUUUUUUUCUGUUUAGUUUAUUAAUCCAUGCUACGUGUGCAAAUUGCUCGACCGGCUCGACCAAACAAGUGAACCGAAUUCCAUCCGAAUGCGUGAACUUAUUUGGUAAUGAUCAAAUUUAGAUAUGUUUGUGAGAAAAAGAUUACACGAAUCCUUUAUAAUCAUGAAAUCAUG
rnacentral:lncRNA from 1 species